rnacentral:rRNA from 1 species
CACGUAGGGGAUAAGCGUUGUUCGGAAUUAUUGGGCGUAAAGGGCAUGUAGGCGGUUUGGUAAGCCUGGCGUGAAAUCCUGGAGCUUAACUCCAGAACUGCGCUGGGAACUGCCGGACUCGAAUCACGGAGAGGGAGUUAGAAUUCCAGGUGUAGGGGUGAAAUCUGUAGAUAUCUGGAAGAAUACCAGUGGCGAAGGCGAACUCCUGGCCGAUGAUUGACGCUGAGGUGCGAAAGCGUGGGGAG